rnacentral:rRNA from 1 species
UUUCGAUGGUAGGAUAGUGGCCUACCAUGGUUUUGACGGGUAACGGGGAAUAAGGGUUCGAUUCCGGAGAGAGGGCCUGAGAAACGGCCCUCAGUCCUAAGGGACGCAGCAGGCGCGCAAAUUAUCCCAUCCCGACACGGGGAGAUAGUGACAAUAAAUAACAAUAUAGGGCUCUUAUGGGUCUUAUAAUUGGAAUGAGUACAAUUUAAAUCCCUUAACGAGGAUCAAUUGGAGGGCAAGUCUGGUGCCAGCAGCCGCGGUAAUUCCAGCUCCAAUAGCGUAUACUAAAUUUGUUGCCGUUAAAAAGCUCGUAGUCGAACUUCGGCCUUUGCCGCCCGGUCCGCCUUUUUGGUGUGUACUGGAGCGGUGGAGGCCUACUUCGUGGUGAACGGCCAUGCUCUUUACUGGGUGUGGUCGGGAACCAUGACUUUUACCUUGAAAAAAUUAGAGUGUUCAAAGCAGGCUUACGCCCGAAUACAUUAGCAUGGAAUAAUAAAAUAGGACGUGCGGUUCUAUUUUGUUGGUUUCUAGGAUCGCCGUAAUGAUUAAUAGGGAUAGUUGGGGGCAUUCGUAUUCAAUUGCUAGAGGUGAAAUUCUUGGAUUUAUUGAAGACGAACUACUGCGAAAGCAUUUGCCAAGGAUGUUUUCAUUGAUCAAGAACGAAGGUUAGGGGAUCGAAAACGAUCAGAUACCGUNGUAGUCUUAACAGUAAACGAUGCCGACUAGGGAUCGGACGAGGAUUUUUAAUGACUCGUUCGGCACCUGAAGAGAAAUCUUUAAGUCUGGUUCGGGGGGGAGUAUGGUCGCAAGGCUGAAACUUAAAGGAAUUGACGGAAGGGCACCACCAGGUGUGGAGCCUGCGGCUUAAUUUGACUCAACACGGGAAAACUCACCAGGUCCAGACACGACAAGGAUUGACAGAUUGAUAGCUCUUUCUUGAUUUCGUGGUUGGUGGUGCAUGGCCGUUCUUAGUUGGUGGAGUGAUUUGUCUGGUUAAUUCCGAUAACGAACGAGACCUUAACCUGCUAAAUAGCCCGGCCGACUUUGGUUGGUCGCUGGCUUCUUAGAGGGACUAUCAGCGUUUAGCUGAUGGAAGUUUGAGGCAAUAACAGGUCUGUGAUGCCCUUAGAUGUUCUGGGCCGCACGCGCGCUACACUGACCGAACCAGCGAGUAUAUCACCUUGGCCGGAAGGCCUGGGUAAUCUUGUGAAACUCGGUCGUGAUGGGGAUAGAGCAUUGCAAUUAUUGCUCUUCAACGAGGAAUACCUAGUAAGCGUGAGUCAUCAGCUCGCGUUGAAUUCGUCCCUGCCCUUUGUACACACCGCCCGUCGCUACUACCGAUUGAAUGGCUUAGUGAGA